CCUACGGGAGGCAGCAGUGGGGAAUAUUGCGCAAUGGGGGAAACCCUGACGCAGCAACGCCGCGUGAGUGGGGAAGGACUUCGGUCUGUAAAGCUCUGUUAAUGUGGAAAAAUGGUAGUUGGUCUAAUAGGCCGAUUAUUUGAUGGUACACAUAGAGGAAGCACCGGCUAACUUCGUGCCAGCAGCCGCGGUAAUACGAAGGGUGCAAGCGUUGUUCGGAUUUAUUGGGCGUAAAGCGCGCGUAGGCGGACCUGUAAGUCAGAUGUGAAAUCUCGGGGCUCAACCUCGAAACUGCGUCUGAAACUGCAGGUCUAGAAUCUCGGAGGGGGAAGGGGAAUUUCGCAUGUAGGGGUAAAAUCCGUAGAUAUGCGAAGGAACACCAGAGGCGAAGGCGCCUUCCUGGACGAGUAUUGACGCUGAGGCGCGAAAGCGUGGGGAUCAAACAGGAUUAGAUACCCUGGUAGUCCACGCUGUAAACUAUGAACACUAGGUAUUGGAGGAUUUGACCCCUUCAGUGCCGUAGCUAACGCGUUAAGUGUUCCGCCUGGGAAGUACGGUCGCAAGACUAAAACUCAAAGGAAUUGACGG
rnacentral:rRNA from 1 species